rnacentral:tRNA from 1 species
GGUCAGCCAUGGUUUACGGGAGCGACCCGCGCCCUCCGGUGGCGCGGGUAAAGGGGACGACGUCGCCGGGUCAGAACCAGCGACGGUCCUC